CGUCCGAGCCCCGGCGGACGGCUACCUGGAAUCCGCGUGCAGGAUACGGCAUACCAAAGCUGGACGGGGUCAUCCGGGAGCACGUGUGAUUCACUGCUGACAGCCUUACCACUCUGCACAGGCAAACUGCGGUGACGGAACUCCAGCAGUUAAGUCCCAUAGUGCUCAGAGCCAUUCGACCUCUAGACAACCCAGUCACGUGGGAAGUACUUUGAUUGGGGACCAUGACUGCGUAGCAGACGCAGACAACUGGAUUAUACAGAAGUGCAAGACUACUGAUAUCGUCGAAACAAACUAUCAACUCUCAAUGGCAUCCUGUUGCUUUAGAGGGACAAUGCUAACAUCUAAGUGGUGAUUCCACAAGCCUUCAGACAACGCAACCUGACACUCCAUCAUGAAGGUCAUUGAGGAACAGAAAUGACCAAACGACUUGCUCACCAACAUGUAUAUUGUCUGUCUCAGUUUCUGACAACAAGAUUGAAAUGUAGAAGGGUCAGCUAAGAACAUUCAAGGACCAGGAUGCACUACUAUGGCCAAUGUUUGCUGUUAUCCAAUCAGAAGAACAAGACUGCAGCCUCUCCCAGCUAUGAUUUGUUCUUGCUGCAGCCAGUAAAAGGAUGACAUCAUCAUGUAAUUUAUGCAGAAGGAUUCAUGAAGAUGUCUAGUCUGCUCAAACUGGCAUUUACGAACGGAGCCAUGCUUCAUCUUGACACAUUCCAUUUUAUGUUACCAUAAUUAUUGUUCACAGAACAAGGAAAAAAAUGGACUAAGCUUAGUCACUGGAGUGUGUUUCCUGACAAACACUGACAUUAUUUACGCUUGAUAGUUACAAAAACUGUCAGUCGAAACUUCAAACACAGGAAUCCUACAUAUCUCUCAAGACUUGUAUUUGCAACUCUUUGCUCUCUAUAUUCGCUUUCUUUGGUAUGCAGGAUUACCCUGAAUACCAACAGUCUCCCAUAACACUCGAUGAAAGAUUGUCCCUGAAAUAUAAUAUUAGUCAGUUUUUGUUUCUUAACAAAAUUCACAUUCCACCAUGCAAGGGCAUAUAAGGUAAAGGAAAAUGAAUAUACAGAAUUUUAUAUACCAAAAUAAUCAAAGCAUGUGAUACAAAAUUAUUUAUUUUCAGAUAUGCUACUAACAUGCAGUUAAGGUUUAGAAAUGCAAUACAAUUUCAUAAAAUCAUGUAGCACCAAUAAGUUGUAUUCAACAGAUACCUCAGCAAAUUGUUUUGCCCACAUACUUUUAGGUUUCACAAUCAGCAGAUGUGUGUUGCAGCAUGUUGCCAACACACACAGGUAAUGUGCGAAAAAAUUAUAAAUAUCUUUGGGAUAAAUUAGUUCCUACAGUUCAGUUCAAAACCCAAUAGGCCAAGCUUUUUAUAUAAAUUACUUAAUGCUUUCUUUUAAAUUUUUCUCAGUAAUGAAACACACAUCAUCACUACUAUCUAAUUUUUAUGUAUAAGCCUACUCAAAAAAUUUAUUUAAAGCAAUAUUUGUAAGCCUACAUAAGUUAAACAUCCAGUCUUUGUAACACAGGCUGGAACUUGUAUUCCAUAUUUACAAUUCGGUCCAUCCGAAGAGAAGUUGAAUAGAAAGUAAAUUCAGUUUAUUGGAAUCAAUGGAAUAUAUAGUUUGCACCAUUAGUAUGCAACAAAUUUCAUGUUUUAGAAGUAGAACAUGAUCUAAAAAGCAAAACUCAUUAAAAGACAGCAUCAAUCCAAUAAAUGAAUUCACUUACUAAUUAACUGAUUACUACUGCAAAAAUUUGCACGCUUAUCACCCUAUAUUUUCCACAUUAGUCUUUUGUGGAACAAAGAUUCACACAGUAAGAAAAUAGAAUAGCUUGUUUGGAAAGAACAUGUACAUAUAUGAGAACCAAACUUUGCCAAAAAGACAAUUGUAGUAACCUAUGUAAAAAUCUUUUACUUUGUACAGAAAGUACCUAAUUUAACUCUUCUGCAAUUUUUCUUGUGUAUCACUUAUCUAUAUUAUUAAAAAAUAAUCCAUAAUGAAAAUAGCACAUUGGUUAAAGUAUUAUGUUAUGCACCCAGUACUGAAUAAAAUACUGUAUAAAAAUAUUGGCAUUUUACAGUGAUCACAAAAUUCAUGUACUUGUAACAAUUUUCAUUUGUAUUUGCUUUUUGAAACAUUUUGCAUGAGGUAGAUACAUUUCCUUCAACUAUUUUGUUGACAGGAUGUUUUCAGUUAUCUGCACAAACAUUAAAUAAUUUAUACAUUACAAUUUCUCCCAGCUAUGGUUUGCUUUCAAUGAUAUGUAACAGUAAAUUAAAAAUUAAUGUCAGCAUUUAGUUAAUAGCGGUUUAAGUAAUAAACUGUGACACUUUACUGACUAUCUCAGAAACAAUUUUGGAGUUUUAAAUGCUUCCAGUAAUUAACAUAAUAAAAGUGGACCUGAUGAACAUCUUACAUCACUGCUAUGGAAAGACACACUUUUUUAUGCUGACAUAAAUAUCAAACAGUCCCAAAAAUUUUUUUAAGAAAGUGGAAAAAGAUUUUAAAUCUUAUGUCAGAAACUAUGUAACCACAGUAAACACAAAUCUGAAAACACACAACAAAUUGUUCCAUUUUUCCAACGGAGACAUGGAAAUGAAUCCCUUCACUUGGUUACUAAUACAGUUUCCCACAGCAUAGUAUGAGAUGUGAAAUGUUUUAAUUUUGUGUGUCUACUGUUAAAUUUGUUUGUAUUACAAGUAGUGUAGACAUCAGAAGUAAUUGAGAUCUACAAAAAACCUUUUAGUAAAUAAUAUAUUACUAAGUUCAUCUUUGUAGGUUACAAUCAGAAUACAUCAUAGUGAAAAAAAGCAUAUAAUACGAAUAUUAACACUCAACAAUUUACUGUACUUUUCAAUUACUGGUUUUUCACAAAUAUGAAACUGUAGAAUAUACUAUGCAUUCACAAAAGUUUUACAGAGGAAACGUUUUUGCUAUGAGCAAGAAUGAUUUAAAGCAUUUUAAUACCAGUAGAGGAAAGAUUUCCGUAACCAACAGCUGAGGACUGAAGAAGUAAGUGGUCAAGCGAAUGUUUGGUAUGUCUACAUACUUAAUAACACAGUGAAAAACUAAUACAAAGUGAGGAUGCACUGUUUAGUAACAUGACCUUCAUUUCCAAUAAUUAAAGUGAUAAACCCUUAAUCCCUGUGAAAUGCAGUUUCACACAAGAGUCAAUUUCUGUUGAACAGGCAGCAGGUUGUGGCAGUGACAUAAGAAUAAAAGAGUCUUGUAAUGAACCUUUCCUCCACAUAAAAACUGUGUGUUGUAUCACAGCACAUUGUGUGUGAUGUCAUGCAGAGAGCAAAAAAAUCUUCUCUAUGUGGAAGUAAACAAGAUGGCUGUUCUGUGCUACAUUAUCAAUGUUAAAAAGAAACCAUAUAUAGCAAGCUGUUCCACCUUGACUGCCUACCCAUGGGUAGAUGUGUGCCUGCGGCACAAGUGGAUAGAUGAGUGUGGGCAACUCAGGCACGGGUAGUCAGGUAGUAGGGCCAUAACCUUGAGAUCAUUGGCCUUCGUCAAUGCCCACGGGUAAGGGUUUGUGACUGGCCCAUAUGUGACCAGUCAAUAUUGUACACGGAAAUUCCAAAUAGUGAGUUAACACUGACAAUGCAAAUAUGGCAGUAAGACGACAAUGUGAUUUAGCAGAAAACGUCAAAUUAAAUGAAAAAUACCAACAUUUAAUUACAUUUUUGGAAAUGAGAUUUCUUUUUAUUCACAAGUAAUGAAACAUCUGCGGUCAGGCCCCACAUUUCUGAAAUGACAGAAUGGUCUUCAAUAUUAGACUUUAAAGCUGAGGCCUUUCUGCAGUUUACUUUUUUAUUUUUUUACUCAUUUACUUAUUUAUUUUGCGGCAGAAAAAGAUAUUCAGAUAAAAUGUUGGUCACAUUUCUGUGUAGUUUAGGAAACACUUCAUUUUUAAUCAUGGUACCAUUAUAAAAAAAAUUAGUGCUACUGUACUACCUGUACUUGAGCAGAUAGCUAUUUUAUAAUUAACUGCUUCUAAUUAUAUCUCAAAGUACAGUAGCUGAUGCAACUGAAAUUGGAUUGCUAUGUAGGUUCAAAACCUAUCCCAAAACUCUGAUGAAUCUGCCAACGAUUUACCAAUAAACCAUCAGAUAUGUGUGAAGAUAAUCGUAGAUAAGGAAAACAAAUGAAAAAAUUGCUAUUCCCUGUACCAAGGUGUCUCACAAAUAGAUAUAGUUUGUCCAUACAUUUUAUCACAUAUGUUGACAAUCAGUAGAGCCUUCCCCUUGAAAUAUAGUAACUAAGUUAUUUAAAUGUCUCAUAAUAUCAGUGAGAAAGAUUGUGCUGAUGUAACAGAAUGAGGCACCAAUGACAUGUGAGACACAGUUGAUGUAGGAUAGUUUCAUGUAGAGCAAAGGGAUACCAAUAAUAGGAUGUCAAUAUGAAAACAGUAAUUAUCAGGGACAGAAAAAAUUGCAUUUUACGAUAAAUGAGAAUUCUGCCUCAAAAUGCGAAAACAUGAUAUUACCUAAUAGGCACUAUUUCAUAUCAAAUUGUAUCCAGAGGAACUAUUUUAUCAGAGAUGGUUUGAAAUAGCUUUAUUUUCAACAUUUUAACAUCAGAAAUGUAACUAAUUUUCACUAAGUGGUACUGGAACUCUACAUCAUCUCGCAAAGUCCAGUUUUGAAAGAAUGUGCAUCAGAACCUGUUUGAAAAAUAAAAAGUGCACAAGUGCAAUAUGUCAAUGCACUUGAUGUGCUGCUGCCAUGCCUGUUGUGGGCAGUUGUGUGUUUUUUUUUUUUUUAAAAAAAAAAAGAUGCACACCACGUAAUGCAAUGUUGCACUCAGCCAUGGGACUUAGCAUUUUAUAACAAAGAAACACAUACGUACAUUUGUUAGCUAAAACUAAGAAGUUGGUAUAACACAAGACACUUUUAAUGUGGCAAAUUAGGUGGUGGAUGUUUUGAUUGGUGGUAGCAUCAAAAAUUGCUAGAGGUCGGGCCUGAACAAUCUUGUUAACAAUACUCUGCCAACCCCCAAACAACUGCAUGGUAACCAUUUCCGAAUGCCUUGUGUUGUGCGUUGCUAGUUGUUUUCUGAUUUUGAAAUGAAUUAAGUGGCUAAUCCUGGUCCAUCAUGGAUUUCGAUUACGAACACCAGUGAUCCCUGUGACAAUGGCAUUCCUUGUUUUUAAAGAACACAGGCUUCUGCCCUGCGAGAUGGAGUCAGUGCUUGUUUCCCUGCACUGCUCCGCUUUGUGCGAUCCAAAUUACAGUUUGUUUACGCUCGCAGCUGGCUGUCACUAUACAAUAUCCACACUUUGCAUUAUAGCCAUUGAAAAACAAAAUCAGUCACAUUUUUCAACUGUGCCGAAAUUAUAUUCCUAAUGUUUGAAUAGGGUUACUUUUGGUACUACUUCUACACUAAGUGCCUUGUUAAUUCUACUUGUAGUAUUGUCAAACAUGGGUCACAUGGCUAUGAAUGCCCAUGAUGAAUUAAUAUUCUGCAGAUUUUGUAAUCACCAAAUUGGGCGGGAAAGGACACAGAAUGUUAAGAAACAUCUGAAACCAAAGAUAUAUACAGCUCUCUGGCGGGAAAAUGCUGCUGCUUUUCAACAGAACCAACAUUUGUUGAAAGCUUAAAUAUGGUCAAACAAAGAAUACAAAGGCCAUUUCGGAAAAAAAAAAUCUGUUGAAGUUUUUGCAAAAGAAAACAUUCCAGUUAAAAAGUUACCAAUCAGUGCUUUUUUUAAAAGUGAACUUCAAAGAACUAAGGCUUUUUUUUCCUUCACUCAUGAAUCUUUUAAUCUUUUAAACCUUUUUAAUCUUUUAAAUUUGUGCAUCUUAAAAAAAUGCAAUUUUUGGCAAAAAUACAUGCAAAAACAGAUUUGAAUUUCACAAAAAUAGAUUCUAAAUUCACAAAAUGGAUUCAUAUUUCGCAAACACAUACAAAAUUUUUGCAAAACAAUAUAUGUGAAUUUUGCCAUAAAGAGAUGUGAAUUUUGCCAAAAAGAGGUAAAUUUUGCCAAAAAGAGAUGUAAAUUUUGCCAAAAAGAGAUGUAAAUUUUGCCAAAAAGAGAUGUAAAUUUUGCCAAAAAGAGAUGUAAAUUUUGCCAAAAAGAGAUGUAAAUUUUGCCAAAAAGAGAUGUAAAUUUUGCCAAAAAGAGAUGUGAAUUUUGCCAAAAAGAGAUGUGAAUUUUGCCAAAAAGAGAUGUGAAUUUUGCCAAAAAGAGAUGUGAAUUUUGCCAAAAAGAGAUGUGAAUUUUGCCAAAAAGAGAUGUGAAUUUUGCCAAAAUUCUCAUGAAAAGAUGCAUCCUUCAGGAAAUCUCUCACACUCAAAUUUUUCUUGAGAGCUGGCUGAAACACGAAGUAUAAAGGUCUGAGAUAGUUAGGAGUCAAGGAAUGUACAUCAGAAAAACAGAUUAUGUGUCAUAGGAAGGUGUGUGUUCAUUGUUGCUGACAGAAGUACUGUCUAUCUUGAGGUAGCAUUUCACUGUGAUAGUGAAGUUGUCUGGUCACAUAUAACACGUCUAAUGAAAUAAAGUUGUUGGGUUUUUUAUUGGCCACCUGAAUGCACUGUGACAGAUUUAGUUAUUCGAAGAUCACCUACUAUCAGUAGCAUGGAAAUAUCCAGUACAUGCAGUAUUAGUUGGAGGUGACCAACCUACUAAAUAUAGACUGGGAUAUCUAUUGAUUCAUUGCAGGGUGUACAGACAGACAGUCUGGUAAAGUAAUUUUGAAUACGUUUCCAAAAACUCUCUUGAGCAACUAGUUCGGCAGCCACACAUAAUGGAAAUAUUUUAGGCCUUGUAGCUACAAA